AUUGAACGCUGGCGGCAUGCCUUACACAUGCAAGUCGAACGGUAACGCGGGGCAACCUGGCGACGAGUGGCGAACGGGUGAGUAAUACAUCGGAACGUGCCCAGUAGUGGGGGAUAGCCCGGCGAAAGCCGGAUUAAUACCGCAUACGACCUACGGGUGAAAGCAGGGGAUCGCAAGACCUUGCGCCAUUGGAGCGGCCGAUGUCAGAUUAGGUUGUUGGUGGGGUAAAGGCCUACCAAGCCGACGAUCUGUAGCUGGUCUGAGAGGACGACCAGCCACACUGGGACUGAGACACGGCCCAGACUCCUACGGGAGGCAGCAGUGGGGAAUUUUGGACAAUGGGCGCAAGCCUGAUCCAGCCAUGCCGCGUGCGGGAAGAAGGCCUUCGGGUUGUAAACCGCUUUGUCAGGGAAGAAACGCUCCGGGCUAAUACCUCGGGGUAAUGACGGUACCUGAAGAAUAAGCACCGGCUAACUACGUGCCAGCAGCCGCGGUAAU
rnacentral:rRNA from 1 species